rnacentral:rRNA from 1 species
UGGUGCUUGCAUCAUGAGUUACAUUUGAGUGAGUGGCGAACUGGUGAGURACACGUGGGAAACCUGCSCAGARGCGGGGGAUAACACSUGGAAACAGAUGCUAAUACCGCAUAACAACUUGGACCGCAUGGUCCGAGCUUGAAAGAUGGCUUCGGCUAUCACUUUUGGAUGGUCCCGCGGCGUAUUAGCUAGAUGGUGGGGUAACGGCUCACCAUGGCAAUGAUACGUAGCCGACCUGAGAGGGUAAUCGGCCACAUUGGGACUGAGACACGGCCCAAACUCCUACGGGAGGCAGCAGUAGGGAAUCUUCCACAAUGGACGAAAGUCUGAUGGAGCAACGCCGCGUGAGUGAAGAAGGGUUUCGGCUCGUAAAACUCUGUUGUUAAAGAAGAACAUAUCUGAGAGUAACUGUUCAGGUAUUGACGGUAUUUAACCAGAAAGCCACGGCUAACUACGUGCCAGCAGCCGCGGUAAUACGUAGGUGGCAAGCGUUGUCCGGAUUUAUUGGGCGUAAAGCGAGCGCAGGCGGUUUUUUAAGUCUGAUGUGAAAGCCUUCGGCUCAACCGAAGAAGUGCAUCGGAAACUGGGAAACUUGAGUGCAGAAGAGGACAGUGGAACUCCAUGUGUAGCGGUGAAAUGCGUAGAUAUAUGGAAGAACACCAGUGGCGAAGGCGGCUGUCUGGUCUGUAACUGACGCUGAGGCUCGAAAGUAUGGGUAGCAAACAGGAUUAGAUACCCUGGUAGUCCAUACCGUAAACGAUGAAUGCUAAGUGUUGGAGGGUUUCCGCCCUUCAGUGCUGCAGCUAACGCAUUAAGCAUUCCGCCUGGGGAGUACGGCCGCAAGGCUGAAACUCAAAGGAAUUGACGGGGGCCCGCACAAGCGGUGGAGCAUGUGGUUUAAUUCGAAGCUACGCGAAGAACCUUACCAGGUCUUGACAUACUAUGCAAAUCUAAGAGAUUAGACGUUCCCUUCGGGGACAUGGAUACAGGUGGUGCAUGGUUGUCGUCAGCUC